GAUGUAUGUGCAAGUAAUUCAUUUAUAGAAGAGGGAAGAACCUUUGGUUAUUUCCAUUACUUGUUUUAAAUGCGUUUUAUUGUAAGAACUGCUAUAGUUUGCCAAUCAUGUUAAGAGUAUAAAAAGAGCUCCUAAACGAUUGGUCAAUCAUUGUAUUCAAAACGUUUGCAAUAUGAGGUUCCAACUACUCAUCGGCUUUGUGCUGGCGUUACUCGCUGUGGCUUUUGCCAAUCCCAAUCCUUUACCUAAGCCUGAGCCAUAUCCAGGUGGCGGUGGCGGCGGCGGAGGUGGUGGUGGAGGUGGAGGCGGCGGUGGCGGUGGUGGCAAGUAAAUCUAAAACUGGCCGAUACUUAACCACGAAUUGAUAAUAAUUACCUGUAAAUGCUAAAUAAAUGUGUACUGAGCAAUCAAACGCAAAGUGCACAACUAUGGAGAAA